AUACAGAGGGUGCAAGCGUUAUUCGGAAUUACUGGGCGUAAAGCGCGCGUAGGCGGAUGAUUAAGUCAGUUGUGAAAGCCCUGGGCUCAACCUAGGAACUGCAUCUGAUACUGGUCAUCUAGAGUUUAUGAGAGGGAAGUGGAAUUCCAGGUGUAGCAGUGAAAUGCGUAGAUAUCUGGAGGAACAUCAGUGGCGAAGGCGACUUCCUGGCUUAGAACUGACGCUGAGGUGCGAAAGCGUGGGUAGCGAACGGCAUUAGAUACCCGAGUAGUCC
rnacentral:rRNA from 1 species